AUCCUGCUUUUGGAUAAAUGGAGAUCAAAGCCGGGGAUCGCAAGACCUGGCGCUUGGAGAGGAGCCCGCGGCCNAUUAGCUAGUUGGUGAGGUAACGGCUCACCAAGGCGACGAUCGGNAUCCGGCCUGAGAGGGCGGACGGACACACUGGGACUGAGACACGGCCCAAACUCCUACCGGAGGCAGCAAUGGGGAAUUGUUCGCAAUGGGCGCAAGCCUGACNACGCAACGCCGCGUGGAGGACGAAGAUCUUCGGGUCUUAAACUCCUUUCGAUCGGGAAGGACGGCUUCCGGGUGAACAAUCCGGAAGAUGACGGUUCCGACAGAAGAAGCCCCGGCUAACUCUGUGCCAGCAGCCGCGGUAAUACGGGGGGGCAAGCGUUGUUCGUAAUUACUGGGCGUUAAGGGCUCGUAGGCGGCCAACUAACUUCACACGUGAAAUCCCCAGGCUUACCUGGGAACUGCCNGUGAUACUGGAUGGCUUUGAUUUCGUGAGAGGGAUGC
rnacentral:rRNA from 1 species